rnacentral:rRNA from 1 species
GAUGAACGCUGGCGGCGUGCCUAAUACAUGCAAGUCGAGCGAACGGACGAGAAGCUUGCUUCUCUGAUGUUAGCGGCGGACGGGUGAGUAACACGUGGAUAACCUACCUAUAAGACUGGGAUAACGUCGGGAAACCGGAGCUAAUACCGGAUGAUAUUUUGAACCGCAUGGUUCAAAAGUGAAAGACGGUCUUGCUGUCACUUAUAGAUGGAUCCGCGCUGCAUUAGCUAGUUGGUAAGGUAACGGCUUACCAAGGCAACGAUGCAUAGCCGACCUGAGAGGGUGAUCGGCCACACUGGAACUGAGACACGGUCCAGACUCCUACGGGAGGCAGCAGUGGGGAAUCUUCCGCAAUGGGCGAAAGCCUGACGGAGCCACGCCGCGUGAGUGAUGAAGGUCUUCGGAUCGUAAAACUCUGUUAUUAGGGAAGAACAUAUGUGUAAGUAACUGUGCACAUCUUGACGGUACCUACUCAGAAAGCCACGGCUAACUACGUG